UACGGAGGAUGCAAGCGUUAUCCGGAAUGAUUGGGCGUAAAGCGCACGUAGUCGGCUUUGCCAGUCGGUUGUGAAAUCCCCGGGCUCAACCUGGGAACUGCAUCCGAGACUGCAUUGCUAGAGUAUGGGAGAGGAAAGCGGAAUUUCUGGUGUAGCAGUGAAAUGCGUAGAUAUCAGAAGGAACAUCAGUGGCGAAGGCGGCUUUCUGGACCAAUACUGACGAUCAGGUGCGAAAGCGUGGGGAGCAAACAGG
rnacentral:rRNA from 1 species